rnacentral:rRNA from 1 species
AAAUUGAAGAGUUUGAUCAUGGCUCAGAUUGAACGCUGGCGGCAGGCCUAACACAUGCAAGUCGAACGGUAGCACAGAGAGCUUGCUCUCGGGUGACGAGUGGCGGACGGGUGAGUAAUGUCUGGGAAACUGCCUGAUGGAGGGGGAUAACUACUGGAAACGGUGGCUAAUACCGCAUAACGUCGCAAGACCAAAGAGGGGGACCUUCGGGCCUCUUGCCAUCAGAUGUGCCCAGAUGGGAUUAGCUAGUUGGUGAGGUAACGGCUCACCAAGGCGACGAUCCCUAGCUGGUCUGAGAGGAUGACCAGCCACACUGGAACUGAGACACGGUCCAGACUCCUACGGGAGGCAGCAGUGGGGAAUAUUGCACAAUGGGCGCAAGCCUGAUGCAGCCAUGCCGCGUGUAUGAAGAAGGCCUUCGGGUUGUAAAGUACUUUCAGCGGGGAGGAAGGUGUUGUGGUUAAUAACCGCAGCAAUUGACGUUACCCGCAGAAGAAGCACCGGCUAACUCCGUGCCAGCAGCCGCGGUAAUACGGAGGGUGCAAGCGUUAAUCGGAAUUACUGGGCGUAAAGCGCACGCAGGCGGUCUGUCAAGUC